AUAAUUCUUGGCAGGGGUGAUACCAUGACCACGAAGGUUGUUUUUCUCAGGUAAGACUUAUUCAUUGCACUCUGGAUGUGCUGACCCCUGUGAUUUCUCCAAAUGUGAUAAACUUAACUGCAUAAUUUGUGAUAGUGGGUAACUCUGUUUAUACUCAUGUUCU